rnacentral:rRNA from 1 species
CCUACGGGCGGCAGCAGUGGGGAAUAUUGGGCAAUGGGCGCAAGCCUGACCCAGCACCGCCGCGUGAAGGAAGAAGGCUUUCGGGUUGUAAACUUCUUUUGUCAGGGACGAAGCAAGUGACGAUACCUUACAAAUAAGCUCCGGCUAACUACGUGCCAGCAGCCGCGUUAAUACGUAGGUGGCAAGCGUUAUCCGGAUUUACGGGGUGUAAAGGGCGGGUAGGCGGGACUGCAAGUCAGAUGUGAAAUCCAAGGGCUCAACCUGUGGACUGCAUUUGAUACUGUAGUUCGUGAGUACUGGAGAGGAAGACGGAAUUCCUAGUGUAGCGGUGAAAUGCGUAGAUAUUAGGAGGAACACCAGUGGCGAAGGCGGUCUGCUGGACAGCAACUGACGCUGAGGCGCGAAAGCGUGGGGAGCAAACAGGAUUAGAUACCCCAGUAGUC